AUUUUUGGAUUACGUCUAAGAAUACUGGCUAAUUGGAACGUGGAUACGAGGAUACCGCUUAGUCGGACACGAAACAUUGAAGGUACUCCCAGCGAAAAUCUCUCUGCAAGAUCAAUGGUUAUUGCAAUCCCUAGACAGAUAAAGUGCAAUCCCAUUUUGAAACUCUGAGUGCUAGCCCAUUUGUGAGAUGUCCAUGGAUGGCGGGAAUCGUUUACCUUCACUUUGAGGAUGUAGAGCUCGUUGAGCAUUCGCCGGAGGUAGCCCACAUCCUUGGUGACACCGGACCAGAUGCGAUUCUGGGUGGCCUUCAGGUUGGAGGACAACUGCUGCUCCAGAUCAUGCAGAAGACACGAAACGUAGGACAUGCGAUGGAUUCUGAUGCAGCCCAACACUUACCGAGUAAUAAAAGUCAUGAUCAUCACCAGGUAGCCC